GAUGAACGCUGGCGGCGUGCCUAAUACAUGCAAGUCGAGCGAAUGGAUUAAGAGCUUGCUCUUAUGAAGUUAGCGGCGGACGGGUGAGUAACACGUGGGUAACCUGCCCAUAAGACUGGGAUAACUCCGGGAAACCGGGGCUAAUACCGGAUAACAUUUUGAACCGCAUGGAUCGAAAUUGAAAGGCGGCUUCGGCUGGCACUUAUGGAUGGACCCGCGUCGCAUUAGCUAGUUGGUGAGGUAACGGCUCACCAAGGCAACGAUGCGUAGCCGACCUGAGAGGGUGAUCGGCCACACUGGGACUGAGACACGGCCCAGACUCCUACGGGAGGCAGCAGUAGGGAAUCUUCCGCAAUGGACGAAAGUCUGACGGAGCAACGCCGCGUGAGUGAUGAAGGCUUUCGGGUCGUAAAACUCUGUUGUUAGGGAAGAACAAGUGCUAGUUGAAUAAGCUGGCACCUUGACGGUACCUAACCAGAAAGCCACGGCCAACUACGUGCCAGCAGCCGCCGUAA
rnacentral:rRNA from 1 species